rnacentral:rRNA from 1 species
GUGGGGAAUCUUGCACAAUGGGGGCAACCCUGAUGCAGCGACGCCGCGUGAGCGAUGAAGCCCUUCGGGGUGUAAAGCUCUUUCGACGGGAACGAUAAUGACGGUACCCGGAGAAGAAGCUGCGGCUAACUACGUGCCAGCAGCCGCGGUAAUACGUAGGCAGCAAGCGUUGUUCGGAGUUACUGGGCGUAAAGAGUGCGUAGGCGGUCCUGUAAGUUUGGUGUGAAAUCUCCCGGCUCAACUGGGAGGGUGCGCCGAAGACUGCAGGGCUUGAGUAUGGGAGAGGUAAGCGGAAUUCCUGGUGUAGCGGUGAAAUGCGUAGAUAUCAGGAGGAACACCUGUGGUGUAGACAGCUUACUGGACCAUAACUGACGCUGAGGCACGAAAGCGUGGGUAGCAAACAGGAUUAGAUACCCGAGUAGUCC